AACCCAUGAUGAGGACACCUUCUUAGAAGAUCCUUAAAUCUCUCCCAUGCAUCAUAUAAUCUCUCCAAAUCAAUUUGAGAAAAAAAAGAUAUGUCAUUCUUCAACUU
rnacentral:snoRNA from 1 species